CGAGCGAGCGGUGGGGACUCCGCGUCGGCGCCGGGACGCUCGGCCGCCGGGCCGCUGCUUUGCCGUUUGAUUUUCUUAUCAGUAGUGGUGCGAACCAGUGCGGACCUUCACGUAGGAGGAGGCCAGGCUCUGUCGUCCUUGCUGAAACAUCCCGAUGACUUCGCUGGAGACGCCACUGAUAUUUUGACGGCGGGCAAAGGAUCCUUCGUUGCAAUGGGCCCGACGAGUCCUGACACACCGGAAGAUUGUCUCUCAGUCGUAACGAACAAAUAUUCUGCAUCGAGUCUCGUGCAAAAAUAUUUCCUACCAAGUAUUAUGAAAGAGUCUAGGCAACAGUAUUCGCGACAGGUCGUGUCCUUCGUCUCGUAGUGGUUUUUGGAAAUUGCUGAAAACUUGAGGAUAAGGCAGGAACGGAUGAAAAGAAAAGGAGUAAAGCAACAAUAAGAAAACAAAAGAGAGGAUCGACGGUUUAGCUAGUCAUAGGAUAUAGUGGAGAAAUCGUAGAGAAGAAUUAGUGAUAAAGUCGAACGGCUGAUCAGAAGCAAUUAACUUUCUUCGGAUAAGUAAUUAAAGUUUUAAGGGAAUAAAAAGAUUCGACAAGAUAUUUACGUACUUGUAAGAGGACUUUCGAGGUUUUAAGUUAAAUAAAGUGGUAAUCUUCCCCUCUUGAUUUUACUUGGAAUUCCCAAGAUCAAAUCAGAAAUCUUUCACCGAAUAUCGAGACGCGAGAUUGGAGGCGAAACAGGGGAUGAGAAUGCACCAAGGAAGAAGAUAAGGGCAGAUGUGAAGGGUACGACUUACCGAGCAUAACAGCGAGGACAAUCCUAGAUUAAAGUUACCUAAUUAGCACUCUAAGAGAUACUUAAAGAUACGUGUUAGGGCCGCGGGGAAUAUAUCAUAUAUAUAUAUAUAUCAGGUAGAAGCGCGCAAUUGGCACACGUUACUUGUUGAACAAGCACGCACGAUACACUUGGUUAUACAAGAGAAAUAUAUUUAAUACUGUUGUUCGUAGCGAUAUGCGUCUUUAAACAUUUCCAAAAAAAAGAAAAAGAGAGAGAGAUCUAUAUACAUAUACAUUCUAUAUUAUAAAUAUUUAUCUAUAUGUUUAGAGUUAAUAGCGUGCGGUUGAAGGAAUAAUUUAUGUGAGGUGAAGUGGAAUAGAAUGAAAUGUCGUUUCGAUAGGAACAGAGUUGGUCUUCUUGUUGUGCAAAUAAAUUUUGCUGUAGAUUAAUCAAAAGGGAUAAAAUAUACGCGAAGGAGGGACGGAUAUUUUGGAAAGCAAAGGGAAAGAAGAAAUAAGCGUGGAACGAUAGUUGUUAGAGAGUAAAGGGGGUUUUUGGGAAGACAGAGAUUAAGCGGGGGAAAGAGGCGAAAGUCUAGCAAUAACGGGAAGAAGAAAAAAAAUAAGGAUAAAUCGCAUUCUGUGAAAAAUUGGUGCGAUAUCACGACAAUUGGGGAAAAAUUUACUUGGGUGAGAGAGAGGGACAGGUAGUGGGAGAGGAUGAAUCUCGAAGUGGAACUGAUAGCAGGGGUGGUAAAGGGCGGACCGCCCCCAGAUCAUCUGCCAGCCCCACGCCUCAUCAAGAUAUUCAUCGUUUCCGAACGGGAUGAAUUUCACGAAGAGCGGAAACAGCUCCUUGAAGUCGUCGGCCCGGAAUUGCAAUCCAUCUACGACGACAUGGGAAUCGAGGUACUCCUCGUUGACAUGCAAUACGGCACCAACUGGGAUCCUGACGUGGAUCCGAGACUGGCCGAAUUCUUCCUGGAGGAAAUAAACGCUUCUCAUAAACAUUCCCGCGGAUGUUUCCUGCUGUUGCUGCUUGGGUCAGAUUACAAUGCAGGCUGGGUCCCGACAUCGUUCCCCGAGGAAACUUUUCAAGCACUCCUGGGGCAGUGCUCCGCGCUCGAGGAGUACUACGAACACAAUGGCCAUUGUUACACCUUAAAAGCCACCAGCGAGGAGACGGCUCAGGUGGAGUGGCAUUCCCGGGAGUCAAACUUGAGGAAGAGUCUUAGGAUGGCAGCCGAAGCUGUAAUUCUGCAGGAUCCUGACAACGUUGGAGCAAGGAACGCGCUGAAGAGUACCGUGCAUAGACAACUCGAGCAUGGCCUAAGUCUCGACGAGGAUGGGAAUGGCAUCAUUACGGUGAUACGUGAGUGGACGGGAGCCAGUGCACCUGCCGUUUCGCCGGAAGUUCAGUCCCUUAAGGCGAAAGUCGGUCAAGUGUUACCGGAGGAAAAUGUUAUUCGACUCGAAGUCGAGCACAUGGCUGGCGGCUUCGAUCCUGACAGUUUUGCUCAUGACAAUUAUUUGACUAAAAUGCGUCAGAGGAUUUUGGAAAGAAUUCAAACUCUAGUGAAUGCAUCGGUCGAGAGAGAUCCGGAGAUCAAAAGUAGGAAGAAGAUGGUACAGGAGGUCUACGCCGAGAGUCUUGCUCAUUUGGCCCUGCUAAGAGAAGUGGAACCGGUCCCCGAAGAUGAUCCUGCGGUACUUCGGGUGCGGCAGACCUUGAUGUGCGGAAGGGAUCAGAAACAUGGUCCAGUCGUUAUCUGGGGUCCUAAAUGCUCUGGAAAAUCCGGUAUAUUGGCCAGGAUCUACCAGAGUGUUUCAGAGUGGUUCGGCGGUCCUACCUUGAGAGUGGUGAGACUCUGCACGUCUACACCGAGAUCAGCUUACAGUCUCGAGCUCCUGAGGAUCCUUUGCGAGCACAUUGGAUUCCUCUCGGGUAACAAUGAUGGUACCUUGCCUCGUGACGCAUCCUUUGAUCCACUUUAUCUGAACAAUUGGUUCAGUCAAAUAAUGCGUGGAAUCGAGGAGAAUCCCACAACUGAGCAACUGGUUGUCAUGGUGGAUGAUCUUCACCGAUUGCAUCCUCUGGAAUGCGAUAUUGUAGCUGCCCUUUCCUGGCUUCCAUUGAAUCUUCCACCAGGCAUGCACUUCGUAGUCACCACUUCAGUCCCGCCGGAAGCUCUCAGACUGACGCCAUUACAAAAGGAACGACUUAGGAGUAGCGAGAUACUGAUCGAACUUCCGGAAAGCAGAAGCAAUAUUCCAAACGUCGAAGGUGCCUUGGACAAUCUUGAGAAACUUGUUGGCCCGAAAGCGGCCAACAGGGUCGGCUGCUUAUUAGCCUGCACCGAAUACGGACUCUCGGAAACCGAAAUUCUCGAGCUAAUAAUGCCAACUGGUGGUGACGGACCGUUGCUGCUGAGCUCAGCUCAGUAUAACUUCUCAACUUGGUGCCUGGUGAGGAGAACGCUGAGCCCUUGGCUGAAAGUUCGAGUUAUGAGCGGCAGAUUGAUGUUCGGCUGGCGCUGGAUCAGUGCGGAUGCUGCGAGGAAGAGAUACUUGAAUACCCAAGAUGCGUCUAGAUCGAGUCACGCGGAAAUAGCGAAUAUCUUCUUCUCCGAAGAGCGCGAGGAGAGCGAGGAAAAGUCUCCGGAAGAUCCUGGCUCACCCCCUCCUAAGGAGACGCCUUUUCAGAGUGCGCCCCAAUCUCAAGACAUCACGUACACCCUCCGUCAGGUCGAGGAAGCCUGGCUUCAUCUUCUACGAGCCGGCGACGUCGAGAGACUCAAGAGACUCGCUGUCUGCGCAUUCGAUUUCCUCCUCGCUGCUGUUCAGAUGAUAUCCGUGAGCUACUUGCGAUGCGUCCUGGAGCACGCCAGGAGGUAUUUACUCGAGAGGGAUUUGGAACUGGUGUAUUAUGCCGUGCGGAAGUCGAGCGACGUGCUGACGCGCGAUCCGCUUCAAUUGGGCGCUCAGUUGAUUUGCUGGCUUAGACCAGUUGCCGAGGACGGUGGGGAUUUGGUUAGCAGAAUGGUAAUGGCCGCCAUGGCAUGGUGCGAUGGGUACACUGCUCCGUUACUUGUACCUUUGAACGGUUGGCUGCAGCCGCCCUUGCCGCUUCAGAUUCGUGCCCUGGCUUGUCCACAGGGCGUGAGACUCGUCGAGGCUGCACCCUCCGGGCAACACGUCGUCGUGGUGCCUCCUCAGGGCGAUGCACAACUAUGGCACGUCAUGUCGGGCCAGCUCGUUCACACGUUCAAAGGACAUUCCGGGCCAAUAUCCUGCGUUGCAGUUACCCAACAGUCUCAGUACCUUCUCACAGGGUCGGAGGACACUUCAAUAAUUGUCUGGGACAUGAAGGAACUGACUUUGAAGCGUAGAAUUUGCGAACACAUCGCACCUAUUUCGACACUAACACCGGCAUUAAAUAACUCGGUGAUUGUCAGCGGUGGCGAAGACUCCAGGAUCAUUGCGACAAGUCUUCUCACCGGAGAAGUCCUGAUGAAGGUGGAUCAUCACAGAGGCCCGGUAACGGCAGUGCGCGUGGAUUCGGCGGGGGAAGUACUGGUCUCAGGAUCAUCCGACCGAACUGUCUGUCUUUGGUCCUUGGAGAGUUUCACUCUCUUGAAUAGCAUUCCUCUACCGUCGCCGGUGGCCAUGUUGGAUGUCUCGACCGAUUCGGUCUUUCUUCUUGUCGCUUGCGAGGAUCAAAAGCUCUACCUGCGAUCCUUGGCUACGGGAACGGAAAUCCAUACGCUGCGAGGACAUCAGGGACCUGUGAGGAGUAUUUGCUUGGCCAAGGAUUGCUGCAGAGCCAUUGCUGGCGGUGUGGAUGGCAGAGUCUCGGUAUUCGACAUGCAUAGCGGCAGGCUCACUAGGACUUUGCCAGCCAAUCCCUCAGCGGACGUGACUUCGGUAAAGGUUACGGAGAAGGAUGACUUUUUGAUCACCGCUGGGGGUGGUCGUGUAACUUAUUGGAGUUUUCGUGGGGAGGAAGUACCCCCAAGGCCCUCGAAGCCGGGAGGGAAGCAGGAAUCCCUUCAGCCUCAUACAGCCCCUAUCUCCUGCCUCGACGUCUCGAGGGAUGGCGCCAUGGCGGUUACAGGGGGCGUUGAUUCCCUCGUUAAUCUUUGGCAAUUAAACACUCACGAACUCGUCUCUACCCUGGAGGGUCACAUCGCGAGCGUAACUUGCGUCGCAUUUUCUGCCUCCGGUCUAUUCGCUGCGUCCGGAUCCGAGGAUAAGACAGUUCGCGUUUGGGGCCUGACGCUGGGUCUUGUGGUUGCCACCUUUCGCCAUCAGACGCCCGUGACGGCGGUCACUGUCAUGUUGGAUGGCAGAAGGGUCGUUAGCUCCGACCGUGGUGGAGCCAUCAGAGUGUGGGCCGCCGACAGUGGGACUUUGAUUCAGUCGGUUUGCGGACCAGGUCGAUGCUUCGCGGUGGCUUCCGAUAUGAGAUAUACAGUCUGCGGAUCUGGCGAUAACCACGUACGGAUAAUAGGCCUGGGAGCUGGUCCGGAAGAAAAGCACCAGGUUUCACAUUCCCAAGACAUAACGUGCUUGGUAGUUACACCCGACUCGCAAUCGCUAAUCACCGGCUCGCGAGACAUGAGUCUGAAAGUAUGGCAAUUGGCAGGCGGAAAGUUAUCCCAAGUGCUGGUUGGUCACACGGACCACGUCACUUGCGUGGCUGUUGCAGUACUGGAUAAAUGCAUUGUAGUUUCUGGUUCACGCGAUGCCAACCUAAUCGUAUGGGAUAUUAAUACCGGGGCGGAUCUUCAUACGCUCACUGGCCACCUAGGAUACGUGACGUGCGUCAGGUUAUCCGGCGACGGUACUUUGGCUAUCUCUGGAAGCGAAGACAAAAGCCUGAUAGUCUGGGAUACUAAGAAGGGCACUGCUCUCAGCUCCAUCAUGCUUCACGUACCGGUACUCGGUGUCGAAAUGUCCACGGACUGUUCAAGACUAGCGCUCCAUUUACUUGAGCACAAAUGUAUGCCUAUAUUGUGUCUACAUAACACACCGGCUCAGUACGUCAAGUUGCCAGCAUACGUAGCGCCCAGAGAUCUACGACCACCUGGACCCAAUCGCCCAGCCAGACGAUUGCUUAAGAAGGAAGUGUCCCUAGACACUUACACUUGGCAGCGUAAAUACGGCCAUCUUACUUCAGGAAUUAUGGUGGCGGCCGUAGAGGAACGAUUAAAACGUCGAUUCAGCGUGAGCGCUUCUAUGGAGGAGAUCAGCAAGGCAGGUUUGGCAGGAUCUCAGCCGGGAUUAGGCCCCGAACAGGCGGCCCUAGCCCAAUCCCAACAUUUCGAUCAGCUGGAGGCUCUCUGGAACAAGCAAUCACCUCCGCCGAGACCCAGAGGUCUUGGUCGAACUCUUUCUAAACAAAGUUCUCUUCAGGCAACCCGAAUAUCCGAUUCCGAUGAGGAAGGUAGGCGAGCCAUGUCCUGCAUCGCCUCCUAGAUCCUUCAGUUAUGUCAGCUACCUAAUUUUCGACACAAAGAAUCUCUUGAUUACCUGCAUUGCCCUUUUAUUGGCUGCUGCAUAGCACAGCACGGUAGAUUUUUUUUUACUUUUAGAAAGUCCUCCUCAUAUUAUUUUGUCAAUAUCGUAUCCUUGAAUGCAGUAUCCAUUGCGUACAUACUUGGUGAUCCGAUCAACUUUUUUUCAAUGCUAUCUAUUGCGUUACUUUAAAAGUGCCAGUUCUUCCACGUGACAUUGCAGUACAGUUCCUUAGUUUUUCUAUGAAGAUAGUGUCACCUUUUUAUUCACGUGUUAUAUCGUUCUCCAUUCUCAUUGGAAUCUAGUUUUUUAGUUUUUCCAGUCGCACAGUAGAAACCACUCUGCAUGCACAAACUUAAAUCUUCCAGGUUAAUCGAAGUCAUUGAAGAUCCUUCGGUACUGCUAGAGCGCUUUUGCGUGGCAUUGAAAACGAUGAAGGAAGUGGUCGAGAACUCUCAUCUAACGAAAAGAUUCAUCCUUCGACUGUAACCGAUUCUAAAACUACAAAACUCCCAUGUCAUUACGUUCGGUGCAAUAAAUAAAAUACAAAUCUA